rnacentral:rRNA from 1 species
UACGAAGGGGGCUAGCGUUGCUCGGAAUUACUGGGCGUAAAGGGCGCGUAGGCGGCACUGUUAGUCAGGCGUGAAAUUCCUGGGCUCAACCUGGGGACUGCGCUUGAUACGGCAGAGCUUGAGGAUGGAAGAGGGUCGCGGAAUUCCCAGUGUAGAGGUGAAAUUCGUAGAUAUUGGGAAGAACACCAGUGGCGAAGGCGGCUCACUGGUCCGGUACUGACGCUGAGGUGCGAAAGCGUGGGGAGCAAACAGG